rnacentral:rRNA from 1 species
GACGAACGCUGGCGGCGUGCUUAACACAUGCAAGUCGAACGGAAAGGCCCUGCUUUUGUGGGGUGCUCGAGUGGCGAACGGGUGAGUAACACGUGAGUAACAUGCCCUUGACUUUGGGAUAACUUCAGGAAACUGGGGCUAAUACAGGAUAGGAGCUCCUGCUGCAUGGUGGGGGAUGGAAAGUGUCGGCGGUUGUGGAUGGUCUCGCGGCUUAUCAGCUUGUUGGUGGGGUAGUGGCUUACCAAGUGUUAGACGGGUAGCCGGCCUGAGAGGGUGACCGGCCACAUUGGUACUGAGAGACGGCGCAGACGCCUACGGGAGGCAGCAGUGGAGAAUAUUGCAGAAUGGGCGGGAGCCUGAUGCAGCGACGUCGCGUGCGGGAUGACGUCCUUCUGGGUGAGAACCACUUUCGCCUGUGACGAAGCGUGAGUGACGGUAAUGGGUAAAGAAGCACCGGCUAACUACGUG